AUACGGAGGAUGCGAGCGUUAUCCGGAUUUAUUGGGUUUAAAGGGUGCGCAGGCGGCCAUUUAAGUCAGCGGUUAAAUCGUGGGGCUCAACCCCAUUCUGCCGUUGAUACUGGGUGGCUUGAUUGCGGUCGAGGUUGGCGGAAUUCGUUGUGUAGCGGUGAAAUGCAUAGAUAUGACGAAGAACACCGAUUGCGUAGGCAGCUGACCAGAUCGCAAAUGACGCUCAUGCACGAAAGUGCGGGGAUCGAACAGGAUUAGAUACCCUGGUAGUCCGCACAGUAAACGAUGAAUACUUGUUUUCGGCGAUAUAAUGUCGGAGGCAAAGCGAAAGCGAUAAGUAUUCCACCUGGGGAGUACGCCGGCAACGGUGAAACUCAAAGGAAUUGACGGG
rnacentral:rRNA from 1 species